CAACGUUUUAAUGUAGUUUCUUCCUUUAUUCCUUUAUUUCUGCCGUUCCUUAGCUCUCUAUCAUCUCUAGAAGUAGACAUUGCCAUGGACCUCUCCCGGGACAUGACCUUUGCCUGUGACCCCCGACCCCUGGACCUGUCCCAGGACAUGACCUUGUCCCCUGACCCCAGACCCCUGGAUCUCUCCCAGGACACAUUGGCCCCUGACCUACGACCCCUGGGUCUGUCCCAAGACACCUUGGCCCCUGACCUACGACCCCUGGGUCUGUCCCAAGACACCUUUGCCCCUGACCCCCGAGCCCUGGGUCUGCCUGAGGACAUGACCUUGGCCCCUGACCCCCGACCCCUGGGUCUGUCCCAGUACGUGACCUUGGCGGUUCUCCCCAGACUGUACAUGGAGGAAGUGGUGUCUGAACUGGGCAGGAGAAACAUCAGCACUGGGGACGUCAACAACAAGGAGCUGCUGGUGGCUGUGCUGAAGUUUGCCAUGGAGAAGGAAUACAGUGGGACGGAAAACAUCCUGAUGUCAAAGUCGAGUCAAGG